rnacentral:rRNA from 1 species
AAAUUGAAGAGUUUGAUCAUGGCUCAGAUUGAACGCUGGCGGCAGGCCUAACACAUGCAAGUCGAACGGUAACAGGAAACAGCUUGCUGUUUCGCUGACGAGUGGCGGACGGGUGAGUAAUGUCUGGGAAACUGCCUGAUGGAGGGGGGAUAACUACUGGAAACGGUAGCUAAUACCGCAUAACGUCGCAAGACCAAAGAGGGGGACCUUCGGGCCUCUUGCCAUCGGAUGUGCCCAGAUGGGAUUAGCUAGUAGGUGGGGUAACGGCUCACCUAGGCGACGAUCCCUAGCUGGUCUGAGAGGAUGACCAGCCACACUGGAACUGAGACACGGUCCAGACUCCUACGGGGAGGCAGCAGUGGGGAAUAUUGCACAAUGGGCGCAAGCCUGAUGCAGCCAUGCCGCGUGUAUGAAGAAGGCCUUCGGGUUGUAAAGUACUUUCAGCGGGAAGGGGAGUAAAGUUAAUACCUUUGCUCAUUGACGUUACCCGCAGAAGAAGCACCGGCUAACUCCGUGCCAGCAGCCGCGGUAAUACGGAGGGUGCAAGCGUUAAUCGGAAUUACUGGGCGUAAAGCGCACGCAGGCGGUUUGUUAAGUCAGAUGUGAAAUCCCCGGCUCAACCUGGGAACUGCAUCUGAUACUGGCAAGCUUGAGUCUCGUAGAGGGGGUAGAAUUCCAGGUGUAGCGGUGAAAUGCGUAGAGAUCUGGAGGAAUACCGGUGGCGAAGGCGGCCCCCUGGACGAAGACUGACGCUCAGGUGCGAAAGCGUGGGGAGCAAACAGGAUUAGAUACCCUGGUAGUCCACGCCGUAAACGAUGUCGACUUGGAGGUUGUGCCCUUGAGGCGUGGCUUCCGGAGCUAACGCGUUAAGUCGACCGCCUGGGGAGUACGGCCGCAAGGUUAAAACUCAAAUGAAUUGACGGGGGCCCGCACAAGCGGUGGAGCAUGUGGUUUAAUUCGAUGCAACGCGAAGAACCUUACCUGGUCUUGACAUCCACGGAAGUUUUCAGAGAUGAGAAUGUGCCUUCGGGAACCGUGAGACAGGUGCUGCAUGGCUGUCGUCAGCUCGUGUUGUGAAAUGUUGGGUUAAGUCCCGCAACGAGCGCAACCCUUAUCCUUUGUUGCCAGCGGUCCGGCCGGGAACUCAAAGGAGACUGCCAGUGAUAAACUGGAGGAAGGUGGGGAUGACGUCAAGUCAUCAUGGCCCUUACGACCAGGGCUACACACGUGCUACAAUGGCGCAUACAAAGAGAAGCGACCUCGCGAGAGCAAGCGGACCUCAUAAAGUGCGUCGUAGUCCGGAUUGAGUCUGCAACUCGACUCCAUGAAGUCGGAAUCGCUAGUAAUCGUGGAUCAGAAUGCCACGGUGAAUACGUUCCCGGGCCUUGUACACACCGCCCGUCACACCAUGGGAGUGGGUUGCAAAAGAAGUAGGUAGCUUAACCUUCGGGAGGGCGCUUACCACUUUGUGAUUCAUGACUGGGGUGAAGUCGUAACAAGGUAACCGUAGGGGAACCUGCGGUUGGAUCACCUCCUUA